rnacentral:rRNA from 1 species
UACGAAGGGGGCUAGCGUUGCUCGGAAUUACUGGGCGUAAAGGGAGCGUAGGCGGGUCGUCAAGUUGGGGGUGACAGUUGGUGGCUUAACUGCCAAAGUGCUUCGAAAACUGACAGACUUGAGGGCUUCAGAGGGACACGGAAUUCCGGGUGGAGUGGUGAAAUGCGUAGAGAUCCGGAGGAACACCAAAGGCGAAGGCAGUGUCCUGGGGAGUACCUGACGCUCAGGUGCGAAAGCCAGGGGAGCGAACGGG